UUCAGCUUGGCACUCAUCAUUUUUUUUUUUGCUUUUCUUUUCCUUUUACUCUGUCAACGAAGAAGGAUUGGAGCUGAUUAGUUUCCUUCAAGGCAACUAUGGAAGAUAUUGAAGGCAUCUGUUGGAAGAAGGUUUGAGAUUUGGUCUUCUCCUUGAUGAGGAAAUUCACUAUUCACCAACCCCUAGAACAGACCUUUCCCAUGUACCCAAGGUUUUGAAGGGGGAAGGGAUAAUUAGGGUUCUCAGCCUCUUGCAGCUUUUGGAAAGAUGAAGUAUAUGAAGCUUGGAUCGAGGCCAGAUGACUUUCAUUCUGAUGGGAACAAUAUCAGGUUUGUUACAGCUGAACUGGAAGCUGACAUUGUCAUAAGUGUAGCAGAUGUGAAGUUUUAUCUACAUAAGGUAACCACUAUACU